GGGGCAGCAUUUUCAGCAAUGAAAUUCGAUGGCGACCGGCGCACGGGUGAGUAACACGUAUCCACCUGCCCUUUACUCGGGGAUAGCCUUGCGAAAGUAAGAUUAAUACCCGAUGGCCCCGCAUGGGUAAAGGUGUGCGGUAAAGGAUGGGGAUGCGUUCCAUUAGGCAGUAGGCGGGGUAACGGCCCACCUAACCGACGAUGGAUAGGGGUUCUGAGAGGAAGGUCCCCCACAUUGGAACUGAGACACGGUCCAAACUCUACGGGAGGCAGCAGUGAGGAAUAUUGGUCAAUGGGCGCGAGCCUGAACCAGCCAAGUAGCGUGAAGGAUGACUGCCUAUGGGUUGUAAACUUCUUUUAUACGGGAAUAAGUCACUUACGUGUAAGUGUUUGUAUGUACCUUAUGAAUAAGCAUCGGCUAACUCCGUGCCAGCAGCCGCGGUAAUACGGAGGAUGCGAGCGUUAUCCGGAUUUAUUGGGUUUAAAGGGAGCGUAGAUGGGCUUUUAAGUCAGUUGUGAAAUUCUGCGGCUCAACCGUAGGACUGCAGUUGAAACUGGGAGCCUUGAGUGCAGUUGAGGUGCAUGGAAUUCGUGGUGUAGCGGUGAAAUGCUUAGAUAUCACGAAGAACUCCGAUUGCGAAGGCAGUGCACCAAGCUGUAACUGACAUUGAUGCUCGAAAGUGUGGGUAUCAAACAGGAUUAGAUACCCUGGUAGUCCACACGGUAAACGAUGAAUACUCGCUG
rnacentral:rRNA from 1 species